rnacentral:rRNA from 1 species
ACGCGUGAAGUUCGCCGCCUGGGGAGUACGGUCGCAAGAUUAAAACUCAAAGGAAUUGACGGGGACCCGCACAAGCGGUGGAUGAUGUGGAUUAAUUCGAUGCAACGCGAAAAACCUUACCUACCCUUGACAUGCCAGGAACCCUGCUGAGAGGUGGGGGUGCUCGAAAGAGAGCCUGGGCACAGGUGCUGCAUGGCUGUCGUCAGCUCGUGUCGUGAGAUGUUGGGUUAAGUCCCGCAACGAGCGCAACCCUUGUCAUUAGUUGCCAUCAUUUAGUUGGGCACUCUAAUGAGACUGCCGGUGACAAACCGGAGGAAGGUGGGGAUGACGUCAAGUCCUCAUGGCCCUUAUGGGUAGGGCUUCACACGUCAUACAAUGGUCGGUACAGAGGGUUGCCAAGCCGCGAGGUGGAGCCAAUCCCAGAAAGCCGAUCGUAGUCCGGAUCGUAGUCUGCAACUCGACUGCGUGAAGUCGGAAUCGCUAGUAAUCGUGGAUCAGCAUGCCACGGUGAAACGUUCCCGGGUCUUGUACACACCGCCCGUCACACCAUGGGAGUGGGUUUCACCAGAAGUAGGUAGCCUAACCGCGAGGGGGGCGCUUACCACGGUGGGAUUCAUGAGUGGGGUGAAGUCGUAA